UCUCUCUCUUUCUCUCUCUCUCUCUUUCGUAUUCUCUAUCCCAUAUACCAACGCGCACACGUAUACAAAAAAAUAACACACACACAUACACACUCAUAUAUACUUUAUCACACACACAGAGUUCUAUACUGACGCACGAAAACACUGGAAGAACGCAGUUCUUAACUCGUUCGUACGUUCGUUCGUACGUUCGUUCGUACGUUCGAACGUUCGUCGUUCAUUAGUUCAUCAUUAGCAACAUUAGCAGUUAUUAUCUGAAUAAUUUACGAAGGAACUCUAUCGUAUCAAGGAAAUAUUCGUUGAUCGUGAUUUUGUCAAUCGUUAGAAGGUGUCAUAAAUCCGGUUUUCACCGCCGGGUUCUCCACGGAGGGACUUCUCCAUGUCCACCGGUGGAGCAAAUCCGGCGGAAAUUGUCGUCCUUUUGAAUCAUCGUUGUUAAUCAUCAUUAUUUGAUCCGUCACAUUGUCAUCGUUAACACGAGAUGAAAGGAAAAGGAUACGUGGUGUUAAUAUCAUCGUCGUAUUAUAAGAAAUCUAUUAUAUCCGCGGGGUGGAUCGAUUUUUUACGAUAAAUGACGAAAUCUAUACACCUAUUAUUAUUAUUACUAUAUCUCGUUUAUUUUUUGUAAAAUUAUACUUUAAUCUAAUCAAAGUAUAAGAGAAGUGUAUUGUUUUAUUCAACAAUUUUGUCCCUAUUUACGAUCGAAAGUUUUUAUAACUUUAAUCGUUAACGUUAUAAGGUGGUGGUGGUAGUAGUGAUGAUGAUGAUGAUGAUGAUGAUGGUAGUGAUGGUGGUGUUGGUGGUGGUGGUAGUAGUGGCGACGACGAUGAUAUGGUAGAAUAUAGGUGAAGGAUAGACAACCUUUAGAGAGAUAACCAUCCCCCUUAUUUUGGAGAAGCUAUUGUUUGCGCGCACGGUUUCUAUCUGUGUGUGCAUCUAACAGAACCGGUGAUGUUUUUAGCGUCGUGAAUGAAAAGUUAUACUUCGAAAGAUAACAAAUUAAAGCCCAAGUUUGAAGAGAAAAAAAUAUUCUAGAAAAAAAGGGCUUUAAAAAGAAAGAAAGAAAGAAAGGGAGAGAGAGAGAGAGAGAGAGAGAGAGAGAGAGAGAGAGAGAGGAAGAGAGAGAAUAGAGAAAAGAAAAAAUAAAAAGAUUAUUAAAUUUAUUCUCGAAGAAUCAUGAUCGUUUGUUCUUUGUGAUACUGAACUUUGGCUGUUAGUCGAAUAGUAACGCGGUUUAAGAUCGUUACGAUUUGAGUUUGUCGAUAAAGGGAAGAAGGGAGAGGGUGGGAAAGGAAG